rnacentral:misc_RNA from 1 species
GAUGAAGAACGCAGCGAAAUGCGAUAAGUAAUGUGAAUUGCAGAAUUCAGUGAAUCAUCGAAUCUUUGAACGCACAUUGCGCCCGCCAGUAUUCUGGCGGGCAUGCCUGUUCGAGCGUCAUUUCAACCAUCAAGCCCCCGGCUUGUGUUGGGGACCUGCGGCUGCCGCAGGCCCUGAAAAGCAGUGGCGGGCUCGCUGUCACACCGAGCGUAGUAGCAUACAUCUCGCUCUGGGCGUGCUGCGGGUUCCGGCCGUUAAACCACCUUCAUAACCCAAGGUUGACCUCGGAUCAGGUAGGAAGACCCGCUGAACUUAAGCAUAUCAAUAGCGGAGGA